ACUGAAAAAAAACGUUAUUGAAUUUUUUCUUAUAGAGUUAAUUUAUUUGGGUUCCCUCUUCCAAACCUUAUGUUUCACAUUUCACCCCAAACCCUUCUUCAUGUUCUUCGAUCUUCUUUGUUCUUCUGUUUCAUCUGCUUCGUUGUUCUUCGUUCUUCUUCUCUUUAAUCUUCUUCGUUCUUGUGAAUCCCCUUCAUCGUCGUUUCCUGAAGCAAGGCGAAUUUGAAUUGGAAAUUGGGUCUUUGAAUUGAAGUUAAGGAGAAAUUGGCAAAUUGCGUUUCUGAAUUGUCGAUAAGGACAAGGUUAAAUGGUAUAUAUUUCAUCGAAUUUGGUCUUAAAUUUCAAAUUACAUUGUUUAAUUAACUGGUUACAAUUGCAUUUCUUGUGUGAUUUUGAGGCCUAAAUUAGGGUUCUUAAUUAGGGAAUUAUGUUGAUUUUUAUUCAUGUGCGUAUGAUUUAUUUACAAAUUUGUUUUGAUUCCACAAUUUCAAUCAAUUGUGUGAACGAUCGAUGGGUUAUUUUGGAUGAUUUUAUUCUGAAUUUUGGUACUUUUAGUUGUUCUUUAAUCUCCCCUUAGUUCCUGAACUGGUUCUUCCUAUGAGUUCUUGUUGUAUGUACAACAAAAUACUUGCAGCUGCAUCUAUUUCUCUUAUAAAUUGCAAGUUUGUUUCCUAUGAGUUCUUCAAAUUCGUUUUUUUACCUUUUUAGUCACAAACCUGAUUAUUAAUGCCACGAGCAAACACCUCCACAUAUGUUGCUGCUAGAUUGUUUUUGGGUGUUUGGGUGUUGGGGGUUCCUGCCUGCUGGUUUCAUUCUGUCCAGGCGUUGGGUGAUGUUUCUUUGUUGAUCUGUUGUUGCUGGUAUUUUUUGAUGGAGAGGAAGGGUAGUGUAGAUUCCCUAUUUUACUUCUUUAUGAUCAGUAGUAUAAAAAAUUAUAUUAGUAACCCUUAUUAGUUAUGAGCUCAAUUUACACCAGUUAUUAAUAAUGCAUUAGUAACCGAUGCCAUCUUACCGCUUUAGAAAUAACAUGUUGAAAGUGAGUCUGACUUUCUGUACUCGGUAAUCUCUGUAGUUUAGUGAUGUUGGUGUUUGUUUACUGUAUGCAAUGUUGCUCUUCUGGUGUUUGCCUCUGCUUCUUCUAGCUUCUGGUUUCUGCAGGGUGCUGCUUUGGGGGAAGGCCUGUUGGUUUUGCUGUUGUCUAUGCAGGCUGGCAGCUUCUUUGCUCAAGCUGGGUUCUGCUGCUUGGUUGUUGCGCUUCUUUGCACAGGGAACAGGAACUAGGAAAGACUUAUCAAUUUCUUCGCGCUCAUCUUUCGAUUCAACUACAUCAGGAAGUUUUGCGAACUUGAAGCUCGAUGCAGGAGGAACUUGAAGAGAAUUGGUGAAUGAACAAGCGUUUCAGUUGUUACUGCUCAAUCUAGAAUGCAAGGUUCAGGGGCAACUACUGUUGAUUUGAUGAUGAAGGCAAUGUCUUAAAUAAUAUAGCAGGUUGGUAGAUCGAAAUCAUGUGGCUUGGGAUGAUCGAGAGAGUUGCAUGCUUUCGUAUUUUGAACUAUUUAUUUAUACUUUAAUUAUGUUUGAAAUUGUUGAACUUUUUAUACUUUGGUUUUCGGGCCGUCAUGGUUCCAAAUUGUAGGAGGCCUCGAUAUUUCAUUUAUUAUGUUUUUAAAAAUUAGUUGACAUUAAAUUCCGCUGCGUAAUUCUGGUACUAGCCUUAACCGUUAUCACGGUGGCGGUAAUACUUUAGUAAUUCCUUUAUUUUAAGUUGGAAAAUGAUUUUAUAAAAGCAAGGAAUUAUUAGGGGGUUACAAAGUGGUACACUAGAGCUUAGUUUCAUUCCUUCUUUGUAGUAAGCAAUACUACAAAGUGGUAAUCGGAGACUAAUGCUGAACUUUAGGAUUUUUAAAUAUUAUUUUCCUAAAGUCAAAACGUAUUAUUUUGAGUACUCAAUAUUUUAAAGGUCAAAUAUCAAUUAUUUUGGGUCGUUUGAAAUGAGUUGAAAAGUUUGGGUUAUUAUUUAAUUUAAUUAAAUUUUCCGAAAUAUUUUUAUUCAUUCGAAAAUUUUGAAUUAAAUUCGAAUUAAUUUUAUUAUUUUCGGAUUUUCUUAAAUAUCUGAAUUAUUUUAUUUUAUUUAUUUAUUUAUUUAUUAUUUUUAUUUGAAUUUUUUUUUUGAAUUUUUUUUUUCCUUUUUAAAUUAUCCAAAAUUAAUUUGUUUAAUUAAUUAAUAAUUCUUAUUAAUUUUCGAUUUUAAUUUAAAUAAUUUCAACUAAGUUAGGAGUUAUUUCUUAAUUAAUUUCGAAAAUUAAUAUUAUUUUCAAGUGAGGAAUGGGCAGACAAGAAGGGCAUAUUAGUCUAAGAAUGCAUAUUAUGUGACAAUGUGAUUUAUUAAGUGUCACGUAUGUGUUAUAAUCAUGUUUUAUCUUGCUUUAUGUGAUUAAUUGCAUCAUAUUUCAUGUUGAGCAUAUACUUGUGCAUUGAAAUUGUAUGGCUCCACGAACUAUUUAUUGUAUCCUUUUUGGGUUGGAAUUUCUAUGGGAACGCGUUAGUAAGACUUUUGAGUUGUG